rnacentral:tmRNA from 1 species
GCACUUUUUUUUCACGCUCGUAGGGCAUAUAUUGAGGCUGCCGGAGCAAUCCGGAUAUGGCGAUAAAUGGCCAUCGGAAUAAGCCGAUCGGACCCGGGGGCAGUACCCGGCGCCUCCACCAUCAGCCCAUUGGGCACUACGCAUCUAUCUGGCCGGAAUCGGCCGAGUGGGCUGCUGAUGGGGGCGAACCAGCAUCGACGAAGGUGUAAAGGGUGUGUUUUCGCCCGGUAUGGUUCCACCGUUAUCGGACCAUCCAGAAUAGUUGCCAAUGACAACUAUGCUGAGGUUGCUCUCGCUGCGUAAUGCAGUGCGAAAGACCUGAACUCAAGUCCUUGCUCCUAGCCGGGUAAGGCGCGGUCCGGAGGGCACCGGGCAACAGAAGCCCUCCAUU